AUUGGGCGGCGUGAUCUCGCCGCGGUUCCGCGGCCCUGCCGCCGCCGCCGCCAGCAGAGCGCACCGGGCCGAUCGGGCGAGUGGCCAUGGCGGGCGCCGAGAACUGGCCGGGCCAGCAGCUGGAGCUGGACGAGGACGAGGCGUCUUGUUGCCGCUGGGGCGCGCAGCACGCCGGGGCCCGCGAGCUGGCUGCGCUCUACUCGCCAGUGCCCUUCACUCUCUGAAGAACAGCCAUGCCUGAAUCAGAGUCUGCAGACAGCCUGGUGCCCCAAAUCUGCAAUCAAGGCCCUUUAUCUCCUCCAGACCUGGAGGCAAGCGCCUCCAGGAGUGGUGCUCUGUGAUCCUGUGCUUCAGCCUCAUCGCCCACAACCUGGUCCAUCUCCUGCUGCUGGCCCGCUGGGAGGACACACCCCUCGUCAUACUCGGUGUUGUUGCAGGGGCUCUCAUUGCUGACUUCUUGUCUGGCCUGGUACACUGGGGUGCUGACACAUGGGGCUCUGUGGAGCUGCCCAUUGUGGGGAAGGCUUUCAUCCGACCCUUCCGGGAGCACCACAUUGACCCGACAGCUAUCACACGGCACGACUUCAUCGAGACCAACGGGGACAACUGCCUGGUGACACUGCUGCCGCUGCUAAACAUGGCCUACAAGUUCCGCACCCACAGCCCUGAAGCCCUGGAGCAGCUAUACCCCUGGGAGUGCUUCGUCUUCUGCCUGAUCAUCUUCGGCACCUUCACCAACCAGAUCCACAAGUGGUCGCACACGUACUUUGGGCUGCCACGCUGGGUCACCCUCCUGCAGGACUGGCAUGUCAUCCUGCCACGUAAACACCAUCGCAUCCACCACGUCUCACCCCACGAGACCUACUUCUGCAUCACCACAGGCUGGCUCAACUACCCUCUGGAGAAGAUAGGCUUCUGGCGACGCCUGGAGGACCUCAUCCAGGGCCUGACGGGCGAGAAGCCUCGGGCAGAUGACAUGAAAUGGGCCCAGAAGAUCAAAUAACUUCUCCGAGCCUGCUACCUGGUUGCCAACCUUCCCUAGCCCCCAAACCGAAGCCAUCUGCCAAAUUCCAGCCUCUUUGAGCUGGCCCCUCCAGAUGGAGAGGACAUCUCCUGGGCUGGGCCCAGGUACCCCAGCCCACCCCUCAUGACACAGAAUACUUGAGCCACUGAUUUUUCAUUUCUUUUUUUUUUUUUUCCUCGGCCCCUCCUCAGCCACCUGAGUUGCUCUAUCUGCAAGCCUGACUCUGCCAGCCUCCCCUGGUAGAGAGGAGGUUUACCCACUCCCUGCACGCCUGCCGUCCCUGCCCCGCUGGGCAGCCCUUCAGUGUGGCUGGCGUUGGGGCCAGUGAGUUGCCUCUUUCCCUCCUUGUCUGGCCCCAGUGGUCUGGGGAGCCCCCAGGCACACCUAAGCGUCGUGGAGCAUUGUUCUGCCACAGCCCUGCAUACUGACCCCGGGAGGCUGGGCAGGUGGACAGCCCCAGCCACCACCUUCAGCCUAGCCUGUCCCCCAAGGAUGGUGAAGCUCAGCAGGGGUCUGAGGGUAGCCGGCCAGAAGAGGCUGGAACCUCCUGCUCAAGUCUAGACCCCUACUUCUCUGCUGCCCCCACCCUGCCAGAGCUGAUGUUUCCAAUACCAAGAUGUCUUCACAGGGCACAGCCCCUGCAGAGCAUCUUGGUCAUUUGGAAGAGGACACGGUAUCCCCUCUGGCCAGAGUAUGUCAGAGAAGGAAGAGUAGGGCUUUUUUGUUUUGUUUUUUUUUAAAGGUGCUUGCUUGUUUAAUGUAAAUAAUAGAAAGCCUUAAUAUCUUUUCUGUAACACGGAGUAAUAUUUUAAUGUCAUGUUUUGGAUGUACAUAAUAUAUUUAUAACAAAGCAGCAAGAGUCUACUUAACCUUGGCUGCCUCGUGGUGUUUCCUGGCUGGGUGGGGUGGGGGGUAUCAAGGAGCCUGGGACGUGAGGCCCCACUCUCGCCCCAUUCCCAGCUCCCCCCAACCCUGGCCUCAGGAUGAGAGCUGUCACCUGAGACAGUGAAUUAAUGUUGACAUCUGCUCCAAAGCCUUUUGGAGGGGAUUGGGUGAGGACAGUGGUCUUUCCUGUUGAUCAUGAUGAUAAAGUAAUGAUGGCUGAUCCCUAUUUGUGACUUCCUUCAGCAAAUAUUCACUGGCACCUGGUGUGUGCCAGGCUCUGUCCUGUACACAGGUACAGCGGUGAAAGAACCAACAAAGACCUAUCCUGGUGGAGCUGACCUCCUGGGAAAAGAGUCAAUAAACAAAUAAAUGCACAUGGAAAUUCAGGUGGUGAUUUGUGAAGAAAAUCAAACAGGACAGAACCACAGCGGAAAAGCAGGGUCGGUGCUGCUUUGGCAGGGUGGUCAUGAAGGGCCUCUGAGCUGAGACCUGGGGGAGGAGAGGAGGUCAGACACGAAAGAAGUGAGGGAAGAGGCCUCUUGAUGGGACAGCAAGUACACAGGCCCUGAGGCAAGAACAAGCUUGGGGCCACGCACAGUGGCUCACGCCAGUAAUCCCAGCACUUUGGGAGGCUGAGGCGGACAGAUCACCUGAGGUCAGGAGUUCUAGACCAGCCUGGCCAACAUGGUGAAACCCUGUCUCUACUAAAAUUUACAAAAAUUAGCCAGGCGUGGUGGCAGACGACUUUAUCCCAGCUACUUGGGAGGCAGAGGCAGGAGAAUCAUUUGAACCCGGGAGGUGAAGGUUGCAGUGAGCCGAGAUCGAGCCAUUGCACUCAAACCUGGGGGAUAAGAGCGAGACUUCGCUUAGAAAAAAAAAAAAAGAACAAGCUUGGGAUUUUAAGAGAUGGUGAGGCAGCCACUGUGGCUGGACUAGAGUGAGCUAAGGAAAAAUGGAAGACAAGGUUGGGAAAACAUGGAUUUGGUAUACAGAGACUCAUAGGCUGAGGUGAGUGGGGACCUGCUGGUCAUUUUAUUUAUUUGUAUUUAUUACUAUGUUUUUAGAGACAGGGUCAUGCUCUGUCACCCAGGCUAAAGUGCAGAGGUGAGGUGUAAUAGCUCACAGCAACCUUGAACUCCUGGACACAAACGAUCCUCAUGAGUGGCUGGGACUAGCACAUGCCGCCACACCUGGCUUGGCUAUUUUUUUUUUUUUUUAAAGAAAUGGGGUCUCACUAUGUUGUCCAGGUUGGUCUUGAACUCCUGGCCUCAAGUGAUCCGCCUUGGCCUUCCAAAGUGCUGGAAUUUUAGGUAUGAGCCACUGCACCGGGUCAGGACAUUAUAGACCAAUUAGUAACUUGUUUAUUUGUUGAAUAAGUAAUUAUAAGGCAUCUCCUAUGAACUAGGUACUGCGAUUCUGUAGUGAACGCUACAGACAUAGUCAAUAGCUAGUCUAGGCUAGAUAGUUUCUGCAAUAUUAGCCAGAAAAAAGAAAGCCUGUUGGGGACAGGGAAAUGCCUAAAGGACUCCAGAGCAGUCACAGAUAAUGACAUUUCUGAGUAGCUGGGAUUACAGGCGCCCACCACCAUGCCCGGCUAAUUUUCGUAUUUUUAGUAGAGAUGGGGUUUCAGCAUGUUGGCCAGGCUGGUCUCCAACUCUUGACUUCAGGUGAUCCACCCACCUUGGCCUCCCAAAGUGUUGGGAUUACAGGCAUGAGCCACUGCGUCCAGCCAUGACAUUUAUUUUUUAAAACGUGACCCAUAAUGCCAUUUUCCUUUGCCAACUAGACUUUUGAUUUGUGACUAUGCCUGAGGGGACCACACAAGGAAGGGUGUUAGAAUUCGACAACUCAUAAAUGACAGAAAUUUAAAGUAAACAGCUAAAAUAAUCGUAUUAGCUCAUAAAACGGAAAAGUCUACAGGUGUUCUGAAUUAAGGUUUGGCAGGACCCAGGGGCUCACAUGAUUCAUCAAAACGUGGUCUCUCUAAGCUCUGUUUUUCUCUUUGAGUUGAGACUUACUAGACCAGCUCAGCAAUCUCAGUGGAAAGUGCAUUCCCAGUAGUUGCAGUGGAAGUCCCAGGGCAGGCUCUCAUUGGUCUGGACUGGGUCACGUGCCCAUCCCUGAACCAAUCACAUUGGCCAGUGGGGUGAAAUGCUCUGGUUGCCCAGGGCUGAAAAAUGUCCAUCUGGAUUUGCAGGGUUGUGAUCACCUCUUCCUAAGGCAUUACUACAAAAAGAAGUCAAUGGUGGAUGGGACAGGCAGCUAAAUUCUUUAGAGGCCAUAGGAGUAGCCUCACCACUGUGGUGUUGGUUUCCAGGCCCCACCAAUCUGUGUCAGUUCCCCUGGAGCCGACAGAAAAAAAACCCUCAGCCUGAGUCCAGAGAGGUAAAGUGACUCCCCCAAGGUCCCACAGGUAGUAAGGGUAGAGCAGCCCUCAGACUCAGACCAUUUCACUUCUGAAUUCUGGGGGCUGGAAAAAAAUCCUUCUCAAAACCAGAAGGUGCGCUGCAUUGGGUCUGAGAGUGUUGGGGCCACUUGUGAGAUCAGGGACUUGCAAACAAGUGCCUAUGAGGGCCAGACAGGGGAAAAUGCUACUUAAUAUUACUGAGCACUUAACUUUGCACCAGACUGUGCAGAGAGCUCUGGCAUGGGUCCUGUCAAGCAGUCCCUGCAGCUCUGAGAAGUGAGUACUCUUUGCACCAUUUGCAGAUGGGGAAACUGAGGCACAGAGGUCAUGUAAUAUGCCCAAGGUCACACAGCUGGUAGGUGGCAGAAUCAGGAUUUGAGCCAGCGUCUGACCCAAAGCCCCUGUGCUUUAACGCUCCCAUUGUGGAGAGGGAGGUGAGACAGGUGGCACGUGAGAAAUGUGUCCACUAUGAGGCAACUGCAGCAUGCCUGAGAAAGGGCCGCUGACGCUGGGGACUGGGAUGACCUGGAGACAUCAGGCCUAAAGGGCAGCUGCUACUCACAGCAGCUGGUUAAACAGGAGCCAGAAAUCUAAACUUUAAAAAUGCUGGCUCCGUGUUUAAAACGUACUGUGGGCAAAACAAAAUGAGUGCAUAGGCCAACUGCCUGCAGCCUCCCUCCCAGCUGCUGUGGGAUGGCUUGGUUUCAGGUAGGCAUGUGCUGCUGUCUGGUGGUGGCACAGGGUAGUGGCAUGCAGGGCAAACAUGGAUUUCCAGCUCAACCGGGGGAGCUGUAGUGAACUUGCAUACCCCUGUGUGCUCACUGUUCUUUAGAAGGGGCCUGGGCACAUACCUUUGGGCGCCUGCCCCCAACUGAAACUCCAUCACCCCGCCUUUUUUUUUUCCUGGAGACGGGGUCUUGCUCUGUCACCCAGGCUGGAACACAGUGGCAUGAUCUGCGCUCACUGCAGACUCAACCUCCCAGGCUCAAGCAAUCCUCCCAUUUCAGCCUCUUGAAUAGCGGGAACGACAGACAUGUGCCACCACCCCCAGCUAGUUUCUUUUUGUAUUUUUUGUAGAGAUGGGGUUUCACCAUGUUGCCCAGGCUGGUCUCGAACGCCUGAGCUCAAGCGAUCGGCCCACCUCAGCCUUCCUAAGUGUUGGGAUUACAGGCAUGAACCACCGCGCCCAGCCAACCCUCCUUUGAUAAACCAAAAAUAUUUUUCAAGCUACCCACAUAUAUAUAUGGGUAUAUAUAUAUAUAUAGCAAUAUAUAUAUUGCUAUAUAAGCAAUAGGUAAUGCUUGCAUAGGUAAAGAAUAAGAAUCACGCCGGGUACAGUGGCUCAUAUCAAAUAAUAUAAACAGGGCUAGAGUAUGGAUAAGCUGACCCUGGACAGUGGGCCAAAUCCAGCCACUUGCUUUUCUAUAGCUCAGAAGCUUUUGUGGGUUGUUUGUUUGUUUGUUUGUUUGUUUGUUUUUUAGAGACAGGGUCUUGCUCUGUUGUCCAGGCUGGAGUGCAGUGGCACAAUCACAGCUCACUGUAACCUCAGACUCCUGGGCUCAAGUGAUCCUCCCACCUCAGCCUCCUGAGUAGCUAGGACUACAGAUGGACACCACCACAUCCAGCUAAUUUUUUUUUUUUUUUAGAGAUGGGGUCUCGCUAUGUUGCCCAGGGUAGUCUCAAACUCCUGGCCUCAAGUGAUCCUCCCACCUCAACCUCCUGAAGCACUGGGAUUACAGGUGUGAGCCACCAUGUCAGCCACGAGCAUUUUUUAAAUGGCUGGGGGAGGGGGAACAAUAUUUCCUAACACAGAAAAUUCAAAUUCCAGUUUGUAAAGCUGAAUUGGCACACAGCCAUGCCCCUCAUUUACAUAUUGUCCGAGGCUGCUUUUGCACUGCAGUGGCAGAAUUGAGUCGUUGCAUCGGAGACCACGUGGUCCACACAGCCUAAAAUAUUUACGAUCUGGCCCUUUACAGAGAAAAGUUACCAACCUCUCCCUAGUCUAGAAUGAAGGGUAAAUUGCUCCCCAUUCAUGUUCCCUCAGGUACUCAGUUCCCCUCCUUAGAGGCCAUCAUUUUGACAAGACACUUGCAAUGCCUUAUGUAGGCAGAGGGGUAUGUCUGCCCCACUCCUUUUCACACAAUAUGUAGGAUAUUAUGCACACAGUUCUGCACCUUGCCUUUUUUCACUUAAUAUAUUUUGGAGAUAGUGUUAUCAUUAAUGUUCACAAACCAUUAUUAUUUUUUACAGCUGCAUAGUGUUCCACCUUCAGGAUGGAAUGGACUUGACUUUUUUUUUUUUUUUUUUUUGAGACAAAGUCUUGCUCUAUUACCUGGGCUAGAGUGCAGUGGUGCAAUCCCAGCUCACUACAGCCUCUGCCUCCUGGGCUCAAGCUAUCCUCUCUCAGCCUCCCAUCCCAAGUAGUUGGGACUACAGGUGCAUGCCACCAUGCUGAGCUAAUUUUUUUUUAUUAUUUUUAGAGACGGGGGUCUUGCUUUGUUGCCCAGACUCGUCUCAAACUCCUGUGCUCAAGCAAUCCUCCUGCCUCAGACUCCCAAACUGCUGGGAUUACAGGCUUGAACCACGAGUGUGUUUUAAAUUUUGAUAGUGCAUACCAAAUUGUCUUCCAGAGGCCAUGCCGGUUUAAGUUCACAAGUUUUCAGAGUCCCUGUUUCCUCACACCCUUGCCAACACAGCGUGUUAUCAAAUGUUUUGUUCUUUGCCAAUCUGAUAGGUGGUUUUAAUUUGCAUUCCUCUUACUGUAUUUCAUUGAUUCUAAGAUGUCACUGAUUCUAAGAUGCAUCCUGAUUUCAGAAGUUCACAUGUAAAAAUGUGGCUGGGUGUGGUAGCUCACGCCUGUAAUCCCAGCACUUUGGGCGGAUCACGAGGUCAGGAAUUCAAGACCAGCCUGGCCAACAUAGUGAAACCCCGUCUCUACCAAAAAUACAAAAGAAAUAAUUAGCUGGGUGUGGUGGCGGGUGCCUGUAAUCCCAGCUACUUGGGAGGCUGAGGCAGGAGAAUUGCUUGAACCCAGGAGGCGGAGGUUGCAGUGAACUGAGAUCGCGCCACUGAACUCCAGCCUGGGCGACACAGCGAGACUCUGUCUCAAAAAAAAAACAAAAAAAAAGUAAAAACGUAUAGCUUCAAAUCACUGAAAUACAAUAUGUUUUGUGAGAUUGGGUAUCUUACUGUGAGUUUAAAAUGCAUUUGCAUUUCCUCAUCUGUUCAUGUCCUUUUCCUAUUUUUCUUGGAAGGGAGGGUAGCAUUGGUUAAGAGUGUAGGGUUCAAAUCCCAGUUCUGCCACUUACAAGCUUGUGACUUUGGGCAAGUUACUUAACCGUUCUGUGUCUCAGUUUCCUCACCUGCAAAAUGGGAAUAAUAAUGGUACCUACCUCAUAGGAUAGGUGUGAAGAUUAAAUACAUUAUUAUAUGCAAAAUACCAUGUUCCUGGAAUAUGGCAAAUGCUCAAUAAAUAUUUGCUGUAACUGUCA